UCAACCUCCUGAGUGCAAGCAUAUGCCACCACAUCUACUUACCAGACUUGUCUUGACCACUAACUGGCUGGGUGUCUCUGAACAGGCCACAUGUGUGAGUGCUGAGGGUCCUCCCAUCCCUGACAGGGUUUGAAUUUUCGAGCAAAUGGGAAAAGGUACUGGGAGCAACAACAGAUUGCUGCUAAACACACUUGGUUCUUGGGUGCUGCCCCUCCCUAUCCUGGCCAACAUGGGAUUCCAGUCACAAAAGGACUUCAGGCCCAGGCCCAAUGAAGCUUCUGCCCGUGACAUCCGGCUCAGAAGAGCAGAGUGAUGCUCUUACUGGGUUCCUAAUUUGCGUCCCACUCACAGAGUGGCAGGGGAAAGAGAAGUCUGAAGUACAUGAAAACACGGGCUUCGGAGCUAGAGGAAGCUGGCCUUCUUAAAUACCGUCUCCCACUUCCAUGCUGUGACCUUGAUAAACCUAUUCAAGAUACCCACCUUGCUGAUUAGAAAAAAGAUUAAGAUGAAAUGGACUCGGCGCACCUGGUAGGCACUCCCCUUAAUGAUUACAACUGAAGAACUAUCUCAGAGGUUUCUGACCUAGGGCUAAAUUGCUUUCACUCUCUAAUGACUAAUGGAUUGGCGGGAUGGUCUAAGCUUUUGUCCUGGCCACCUGAACUGCUCAGCCCUGGGAGUCUUGACAAGCAAUUUCCUUGGAAUUAGCUUAAUAAUGCCUCGUAGGUGUGUGAUGCAUUUCAAAGAACUUUCCCAUCAUUAUCUUGGGUCCUAGCCGGCAGCUGGGCUCAGAGAGAAGUGGCUUGCUCCAGGUCACAUGGCACAUGAGCCUGCAGCUUUCCCUGGUGUUAACUUCUAAGUGAACAGAAGGCAGACUACUGUGGUAGAGUAAAAAAGGUCCCUCAGAACUGAGGCUCACUGGAGGCACAGUCUGUAGCCUGCAGUACUCAGCAAGUCCGGGAUUUUCACCCUCGAUGGGCUGUAUCCAGAGAACACAGCACAGCCUAACACACCAUCCAAGGUGGAGAUAACCAGUCUUAAGGUUAUUUGGGGCAAGGGUUUCUCACAUGGGAACUCCCGACCUCCAGAAGGUUGGAGGUCUGCUAUUACUCUUAAAAAAUUCAUGUGUGCCUUCGGAAGGAUGCUCAUAUCGUCCUUCAACUCAUCAGAGGAAAUCAGGACCCAGAUCAGGAUUAAAAACUAUUCAUCAGACUGUAGGAUGAUUGGCAAAGACAGAGGUUGCACCCCCCCCCUUUGACCCUGGUUCACCCCAAAAGGCUUACUAGGGUUAAUGCACAAAGGGUAAUGACAUGACCCUUUUGUUAUGAAAUAUUAGUAACUAUGCCAAGACCCAACACACAGAGAUCAUAUAAACAGGAAUUCAGUGAGGCCAGGAGCCUGGUGCAUCCCACCUGGGGAGGCACCGUGUUGGGGGUGAAUAGAUGGGACAUGGGCUGAUGUCUUUUUCUUUGCUGGCCAGUAAGAUCCUAGUCAUGCCCAACAAAAUCCUAGUCAGUUUUCUCAAACUCACAGGUCAAAGUUAAAAGUUUAGAGCUCGAAGGGAACGUGCAGCAUUGCUUCCCAGCUAGCCUGCAUCUCCGACAGAGGCUGAAGAUUUGAGAGACCCUGGUUUUGGUUUGGUUUUUCCAAUACAGGCUCUUACUAUGUA